rnacentral:rRNA from 1 species
UACGAAGGGGGCUAGCGUUGCUCGGAAUCACUGGGCGUAAAGGGCGCGUAGGCGGCCAUUCAAGUCGGGGGUGAAAGCCCAGGGCUCAACCCUGGAAUUGCCUUCGAUACUGUUUGGCUAGAGACCGGAAGAGGUAAGUGGAACUGCGAGUGUAGAGGUGAAAUUCGUAGAUAUUCGCAAGAACACCAGUGGCGAAGGCGGCUGACUGGUCCGGUUCUGACGCUGAGGCGCGAAAGCGUGGGGAGCAAACAGG